rnacentral:rRNA from 1 species
CCUACGGGAGGCAGCAGUAAGGAAUAUUGGUCAAUGGGCGCAAGCCUGAACCAGCCAUGCCGCGUGCAGGAUGACGGCCCUCUGGGUUGUAAACUGCUUUUAUACGGGAAGAACAGCAUCUACGUGUAGGUGUUUGACGGUACUGUAAGAAUAAGGACCGGCUAACUUCGUGCCAGCAGCCGCGGUAAUACGAAGGGUCCAAGCGUUAUCCGGAUUUAUUGGGUUUAAAGGGUGCGUAGGCGGCUUUUUAAGUCAGUGGUGAAAGCCUGAUGCUCAACAUCAGAACUGCCAUUGAUACUGAAGAGCUUGAGUACAGUUGAGGUUGGCGGAAUGUGUCAUGUAGCGGUGAAAUGCUUAGAUAUGACACAGAACACCGAUUGCGAAGGCAGCUAGCUAAGCUGUUACUGACGCUGAUGCACGAAAGCGUGGGGAGCAAACAGGAUUAGAUACCCUGGUAGUCCACGCCCUAAACGUUGAUAACUCGUUGUUAGCGAUAUACUGUUAGCGACCAAGCGAAAGCAUUAAGUUAUCCACCUGGGAAGUACGGUCGCAAGAUUGAAACUCAAAGGAAUUGACGG